GCCUGGGUGGCUCAGUCGGUUAAGUGUCCGACUUCGGCUCAGGUCAUGAUCUCACAGUUCGUGGGUUCGAGCCCCACAUCGGGCU
rnacentral:tRNA from 1 species